rnacentral:rRNA from 1 species
AUGCUCCUGGGGUGGCCGAGGAGCAGCAGGGUGGAGACUGCUCGGCCCAGAUGUGCGGCAACGUCAGCAUCUUCGAUCCCUUCAGGCUCACUGGCUUGCAGACCGGAAGAUCAUGCGCUUCUUCUCCCCGGGAUUUUGAAGUAGCUUGUACUAACAACAGUUAUCCAUCUCUACGGAGCUCCAUACCCUUCAACAGGGGCUUCGAAAUCCUCAACAUCUCCUACGACGAACGCAGCUUGUAUGCGGUUGAUCUGGAAAAGCUGGAUUUAUGGCGUGCCCGCAACAGCUGCCGUGUACCGAUCUGGAACACCUCAGUCAAACUGAAUGGGCCAUUUAGGAUCGACCCCGCCAACCUCAACCUCAUCCUGUACAACUGCACGGCGGCGGCGGCCUUGGCACGUCGGGACGUACAGAGGCCUCGUGCAGACGAGCGUGAGAUGCGCGAACGAGUGGGAGGUGCUUGUCCGCGCCGGAGUACCUCACGACGCCACAGGGAACUACGCCGGCUAUGCAUUGGAAGGCUGCGCUGCUAUCGUCGUGCCCGUGUCGGGCUCGUCGGCGGGGCCGGGGAUAAACGGGAGCGGCUACGAGCAGCUCUUCAACGAUGGCUUCCUCUUGACAUGGAGUUGCCCGCCUCAGACCACUCUCCUUCCACGUAGCAAGACGACUCGCACGAGGAUUAUAACAAUAGCUUUGACAUCAGCAGCUGCAGCACUGCUCUUUCCAUGUAUUUAUGUGCUGAUAUGGUAUAUGACGGGUAAAAGAAACUGGUUUCUUAUCUGGAAAAAGAAAAGCAGCAGCACUGAAAGGCAUUAUGAGGCCAUGAUAGCGUGGUAUGGAUCACUUGCUCCAAAAAGAUACACAUACUCAGAGGUAAUGAAGAUAACAUCGUCUCGCCAUAAGCAGCUUGGUCAAGGUGGUUAUGGUGUGGUUUUUGAAGGAAAUUCUUGCAUGACUGCAAAGGAAAUGGGGAGGAGUUUGUGAAUGAGGUUACAAGCAUUGGCAUGACCUCUCAUGUCAAUGUUGUUAGCCUGUUUGGGAUUUUGUUUGGAGGGAUCAAAACGAGCUCUUAUAUAUGAGUACAUGUGCAAUGGUUCCUUGGAUAGAUACAUUUACUUAGAGAACCCAAAAGAAAUUUUAGGAUGGGAGAGGCUCUAUGCGAUAGCGAUUGGGAUAGCUCGUGGACUGGAAUAUUUGCACCAUAGCUGUAAUACACGGAUCGUCCAUUUUGACAUUAAGCCUCAAAAUAUCCUUCUAGACAAAGAUUUUUGCCCAAAGAUUGCCGAUUUCGGUCUUGCCAAGCUGUGUCGUACCAAGGAGAGCAAGCUUUCAAUGAUUGGUGCUAGAGGAACAAUUGGAUUCAUUGCUCCAGAAGUUCACUCACGAAACUUCGGACUUGUUUCAACGAAAUCAGAUGUUUAUAGUUAUGGAAUGAUGUUGCUAGAGAUGGUCGGAGGAAGGAAAAAUGUGAAAUCAGUGGCUGAAAAAUCUAGCGAAAAGUAUUUCUCAGAUUGGAUUUAUGACCACUUUGCUCAAGAUGAUGGAUUAGAAGCAUGCGAAGUUACAAGUGACAUUGAGGAAAUUGCAAGAAAGAUGACCUUGAUUGGCUUGUGGUGCAUACAUGUAUAA